UUUGGGCCGGCCCCUAGAAUGUGGAUUUCUUAAACCACCCAUACCAUUCACCCAGCAUAAGGUCCAGGAACCCCACAAGAUCACUUCAGAAAGCUACCAGGACAUGGGCACCUUUGGGAUCAGCUGCAACACAUAAAAGGCAAAAACCUUCCUACUCACAAUUUAUUUGCACUAUUUUUCAAGGAGACUGCAUAAGGAUGAAGUGCUCUAGGUUCCAAGUCAGAUUUCCCUAACAGGAAGUCACAGUCACACUUUUGAGUAUUAUUUGAUACUCAACAAUGAGCUGGGUCA